CCUACGGGAGGCAGCAGUGAGGAAUAUUGGUCAAUGGACGAGAGUCUGAACCAGCCAAGUAGCGUGAAGGAUGACUGCCCUAUGGGUUGUAAACUUCUUUUAUAUGGGAAUAAAAUGUUCCACGUGUGGGAUUUUGUAUGUACCAUAUGAAUAAGGAUCGGCUAACUCCGUGCCAGCAGCCGCGGUAAUACGGAGGAUCCGAGCGUAUCCGGAUUUAUUGGGGUUAAAGGGAGCGUAGGUGGAUUGUUAAGUCAGUUGUGAAAGUUUGCGGGUCAACCGUAAAAUUGCAGUUGAAACUGGCAGUCUUGAGUACAGUAGAGGUGGGCGGAAUUCGUGGUGUAGCGGUGAAAUGCUUAGAUAUCACGAAGAACUCCGAUUGCGAAGGCAGCUCACUGGACUGCAACUGACACUGAGGCUCGAAAGUGUGGGUAUCAAACAGGAUUAGAUACCCCUGUGGUC
rnacentral:rRNA from 1 species